UAACACAUGCAAGUCGAACGAUGAACCCGAAGCUUGCUUUGGGGGAUUAGUGGCGAACGGGUGAGUAACACGUGAGCAACCUGCCCCUCACUCUGGGAUAAGCGCUGGAAACGGCGUCUAAUACUGGAUACGAGUCGCAACCGCAUGGUUAGCGAUUGGAAAGAUUUUUUGGUGGGGGAUGGGCUCGCGGCCUAUCAGCUUGUUGGUGAGGUAAUGGCUCACCAAGGCGUCGACGGGUAGCCGGCCUGAGAGGGUGACCGGCCACACUGGGACUGAGACACGGCCCAGACUCCUACGGGAGGCAGCAGUGGGGAAUAUUGCACAAUGGGCGGAAGCCUGAUGCAGCAACGCCGCGUGAGGGAUGACGGCCUUCGGGUUGUAAACCUCUUUUAGCAGGGAAGAAGCGAAAGUGACGGUACCUGCAGAAAAAGCACCGGCUAACUACGUGCCAGCAGCCGCGGUAAUACGUAGGGUGCAAGCGUUAUCCGGAAUUAUUGGGCGUAAAGAGCUCGUAGGCGGUUUGUCGCGUCUGCUGUGAAAUCCCGAGGCUCAACCUCGGGCCUGCAGUGGGUACGGGCAGACUAGAGUGCGGUAGGGGAGAUUGGAAUUCCUGGUGUAGCGGUGGAAUGCGCAGAUAUCAGGAGGAACACCGAUGGCGAAGGCAGAUCUCUGGGCCGUAACUGACGCUGAGGAGCGAAAGGGUGGGGAGCAAACAGGCUUAGAUACCCUGGUAGUCCACCCCGUAAACGUUGGGAACUAGU
rnacentral:rRNA from 1 species